ACGUGCACUCCGAUUUCAAAAGCCCGACGAUGUGUUACCCUCCGGGCCGUUGUUGACGCGAUUUAUCGAGGCGGAAAAAUCGAUUGUGCUCGUGUGAUUAUUUUUGUUUUGGUUUGCGGCCUCUCGCCCCCGUAAUCCCCGCGCGGCCUCGGCCACAUGACUCAUGCCAGGCAGCAACAAUGAAAAACCACAAUAAGUACGCCAAGUUGCCCCAAGACCUCGAUCUGAGUUUCCACAGCGAUUUGGACCUGCUGCCGGACACGGCGGCCGACAUCGACGUUGGCCUGGACGCGGAUGUGGCCGCUCUCGGUGUGAACGUGCCCGCGUCUCUGGGCCUCGACGAGGACUACGACGAGGAGGUAAUCGUCGCCUCAGGCGGAGGAGGCCUUCGACUAGCCCCCACGGCGGCGGAGGCAGUGGCGGAUCGCCGGCAGCCGCAGCAGCGCAGGCAGCGGAAGAACCAGCCGCAGCAGGAGCAGGAGCAGAUCCAGGCCAAAAGCAAGAUCUGCGGCCUGGGCAGCGACAGCGUCAUCGAGACGGGUCUAACCCUCACACCCGAAAUGUUGCUAUCCACCUCGGAAUCAUCGACUCACAGCGCCUCCGAGGUCGCCGGACGACUGCAGGUCGACGUGCGGACCGGCCUCAAAUGGACGGAAGCUAAGUACCGUGCCAAGAUUAUCGGGCACAACGAGCUGCUGCUCGUCGCAGAGGACCCCACCUGGAAGAAGUAUAUUGAGCAGUUCAAGAACCCGCUCAUUCUGCUGCUCCUCGGCUCGGCCCUGGUGUCCGUGAUCAUGAAGCAAUUUGACGACGCUGUCAGCAUAACCAUCGCCAUCCUGAUCGUCGUCACGGUGGCCUUUAUUCAGGAGUACCGCUCCGAGAAGAGCCUGGAGGAGCUAAAGAAACUGGUGCCACCCGAGUGUCACUGUCUGCGGGAAGGUCGUCUGGACACUUUCCUGGCACGCGAACUGGUUCCCGGCGACAUCGUGCACCUUAACGUGGGCGACAGGGUGCCCGCCGACGUGCGCCUUUUCGAGGCCGUGGACCUGUCUAUCGACGAGAGCAGCUUUACCGGCGAAACGGAGCCUGCGCGCAAGAUUACUGACGUCCUGCUCAACAACACGAACGUAAAGGACCACAGCAACAUGAAGAACAUAGCUUUCAUGGGUACACUGGUAAGGUGUGGCAAUGGUAAGGGCAUCGUUGUCAGCACUGGGGAGCGCAGCGAGUUCGGCGAGGUCUUCAAGAUGAUGCAGGCAGAGGAGGCUCCGAAGACGCCGCUCCAGAAGUCGAUGGACAUCCUGGGCGCACAGUUGAGCUUCUACUCCUUUCUGAUUAUCGGCGUCAUAAUGCUGCUGGGCUGGCUGCAGGGCAAGCCGCUCUCGGAGAUGUUCAACAUCAGCGUCUCGCUGGCCGUGGCGGCCAUUCCCGAGGGCCUACCCAUCGUAGUGACAGUCACCUUAGCGCUUGGAGUGAUGCGGAUGGCUAAGCGGAACUCUAUCGUAAAGAAGCUGCCCACUGUUGAGACCCUGGGCUGCGUGAAUGUCAUCUGCUCUGACAAGACGGGCACCUUGACCAAGAACGAGAUGACGGCCACGAUCAUCAUCACUUCGGACGGAUACAUGGCGGACGUGACCGGCGCCGGCUACAACGACCAGGGAGAGAUCCACAUUCGGCACUGCAAUAACGUGGAGAUGGCCAAGACCAAUAUUAACAACCUCCUGGAAAUCGGGGCGGUCUGCAACAACGCUUACAUCCAGAAUGGGACGCUGCUGGGACAGCCCACAGAGGGAGCUCUCGUGGCGGUGGCCAUGAAGAACGGCAUGUACGCCACAGCAGAGAACUACGUUCGCAUCCAGGAGUACCCUUUCAGCUCGGAACAGAAAAUGAUGGCUGUCAAGUGCAUCCACAAAUACAACAACAACAAGGAGGAGAUUUUCUUCGCCAAGGGGGCACUAGAGACGCUCCUGCCGCAGUGCACCAAGUACCAGUUCGGCACCCAAACGGUACCACUAACCAAGCAGAACGAGGCAGAGUUCCUAGCCGAGGCGUACGAGAUCGGGCGCAAGGGCCUCCGGGUGCUGGCACUGGCCAAAGGCCGGUCCAUGCAGGACCUGAUCUACUGCGGCCUGGUCGGCAUCACUGACCCACCGAGGCCCCUUGUGCGGGAGUCUAUCGAGAUGCUGAUGCAGAGCGGAGUGCGGGUUAAGAUGGUAACUGGAGAUGCCCAGGAAACGGCCUUGGCUAUCGCGAAUCUCAUCGGCAUCGAUACCAUUCACCACCAGACUCUGUCCGGUCAGGAGAUCGAUCAAAUGAACGAGCACCAACUGGACAAGGUGGCCAACAACGUGAGUGUCUUCUACCGCGUAUCGCCGCGCCACAAGCUGGAGAUAGUGAAGUCCCUGCAGCGCACCGGCAACAUAGUCGGCAUGACUGGCGACGGUGUGAACGACGGAGUGGCUCUGAAGAAGGCGGACAUCGGCAUUGCCAUGGGCAAAAACGGGACUGAUGUAUGCAAGGAGGCGGCAGACAUGAUUUUAGUCAAUGACGAUUUCCACACCAUCAUCGCCGCUAUCGAGGAGGGCAAGGGCAUCUUCUACAACAUCCGGAAUUUCGUGCGCUUUCAGCUGAGCACAUCAAUUGCCGCCCUGGCGCUCAUAGCUUUGGCCACUCUGAUGGACAUUGCCAAUCCCCUGAACGCCAUGCAGAUUCUAUGGAUCAACAUCAUAAUGGAUGGCCCGCCCGCCCAGUCCUUGGGCGUAGAGCCCGUGGACCACGAUGUCCUCAAGCAGAAACCGCGAAACGUUAAGCAGCCGAUGAUUACCAAGUCAGUGGUGGCGAACGUUCUGCUCAGUGCCAGCAUAAUAGUGCUGGGCACGCUUUGGGUGUUUCAGCGCGAGAUGGCCGACGGCACGUUAGGGAAGACCAAGCGGGACACGACCAUGACCUUCACUUGCUUCGUGUUCUUCGACAUGUUCAAUGCGCUUUCCUGCCGCUCGCAGACAAAAAGCGUAUUCACCAUCGGACUGACCACCAACCGCAUGUUCCUGCUGGCCGUCGCCUUCUCUAUCAUUGGACAAAUGCUGGUCGUCUACUUUCCGCCGCUGCAGAUGGUUUUCCAGACGGAAGCCCUUACGCCAUACGACAUCUUCUUUCUGGUCUCCCUCACCUCCUCGGUUUUGGUUGUCUCCGAGAUAAAGAAAUGGUUCGAACGCACCAUGGAGCGCAAGAUGUACAGCACCCGCUCCGAGCUGGACUUUGUAUGACAAAAAGCAAGCGCUAGAGAAGACAUGCACCCCAAAGCCGAGUAAAUUAAAUAACUAAACAAAAAAACCCAUAAAAAGCAAAACUAUGCCAAAACAAGCGAGAAGCGCGGCGAAGUACAGCCACAGAGAAGCAAAAGCCGGAUCAGGAGCAAGGGAGCAGCGAUGUGUGUGUUUACUUUUAUAUUUGACUCGACCAAUUAGGAAACAUUUAGUCGGCAAUGCGGCUUUCGACCAGACUGGGCGAAACAGGGAAUUUCAUAGAUUUGACGUAAGCUUCCAGCGAAGCAACUGGAAACCUAUCGUUUGAUUCGGUUUCGUGAAUCCGAUAAAGUUCUACAGGCAAAUGCAGAUUAAACUGAGUAUCCGUCAACACAAAGGAAAGUAAUGGAUAUAAGUAAAAGAGGGCAAGAAAAGGACAAAGCAAGGCGUAGUUAAAUAAAACAUGGUUUUUUUGGUAACAUUGUUAAAUAAUUUAUUCGGUAUUUGAAAAGCAAACAAUCAAUUUGUGUACCUUACAUGAACGCAAAUUGAAACUCUAGCGCGUUAGCAAUUUAAAAAAACAUUUUUACAAAAGCAUCUCCAGCGGAAAAUCAAAUGGAGUGUCAAGUUUUUACUAAGGAGAACUUUACAUUUAAAAAAAUUCGAUUAUAGUUUUUCGUGUUUUGGAUAGGGUUUCCCACAAAAAAAAUAGAACAAAAGCACUAAACCCAUUGCAAAAUUUCAUAGGGCAAACAGCACCACAUUCAAAUGUAACGCAAUUUCUGAAAUUACAUUCGUAUUUUAAAUUCAAGUGUUUAUUCUUAGAAUAUGUAUUCUUGAAGCUGCGUACUUACAAAAAUUUAGUUUCUGUGUUAAAUUGAAUACAGAUGCAAUACGCUCAUUAAACGACAAAAGAAAUAUACUAAUGCAACGUAUCUUGCGAAUUGUAAUCAAAAGUAUGCAUCUUAUUAGUCAAUUAAUGCAUUUUUAAUACAUUUAAAGGAAUAUUUAUUAAACUCAAUAGAAUACCAAGAUUUAUACAAACUAUAUAACUAAACUCUUAAAUAUCAUUGACAUUCGAUUCAUAUCAUAACUCAGAAAAGUAAUAACCCAUGAAAGGCAUUUUCACAUGUAGAACUAGAGUUCACUUAUGCACUGGGAGCAUAUCACAUUUUCCGAUGGUGUUUGUUUUCGAUCAAAAAACUAAAAGCAUUCGUCAUAUUUCACAAUUUCGUUGAGUGGAAUUUGUUUUCGCUUCACUAUUGCAAUUAAUGGACCAAUCAAGAAAUUAUUUAUUUGAUCACACACAUUAAGGUCACGCUUAGCUCGUCAGAGACACGCUCUCAUAUAUCAAGGCAAGGAAAAAAACAGAAAAAUGUAGAAAAAAGGAACAUUGCAUAUCAACCUAACCUCCCCAUUUUUUUAAUUUAUAAAAAUCACAAUACCACUGUUAUUGCAAUGAACUUUGCAUUCCAUUAUUAUCCUCAUACGUAUUUGACAAUAUUACCUCUCUUAAUAAUAUCUUUCGAACGUAAGGCGAGAUGAAACAGUCUCACUUGACAUUAUAUUUUAUGAACUUUUUUCAGACCGACUCUUUCUCUGAUUUAAAAAUUGCUAUCUAUGGAAUCCCCAAUUUUUCUCGUAUUGAGCCAUGGAAAGUUUGAACCAACUGAUUCAUGCAACUCGCGCCUUCCGUUCGCGAGAUAUAUUACUUUUAGUUUUAACAUUUGACGCAAAUAUACUGCAAAAGAUUCGAAAUAUUGUCAAAAAUAAGUACAAGGAUUAAAAUUGGAAGAGAAGUGCGUUGCAACAAAGGUGGCACUGUGCACUUUAAAAAAUGGUUGGUGGGGUCGAUAUAAAACGUCCCAAAUAAAAAAAUAAUAAAAAUGAUAUG